rnacentral:rRNA from 1 species
UACGGAGGCAGCAGUGAGGAAUAUUGGUCAAUGGACGAGAGUCUGAACCAGCCAAGUAGCGUGCAGGAUGACGGCCCUAUGGGUUGUAAACUGCUUUUAUACGGGGAUAAAGUGACCCACGUGUGGGUUUUUGUAGGUACCGUAUGAAUAAGGACCGGCUAACUCCGUGCCAGCAGCCGCGGUAAU